GGGGGUCCAUUCCUUUUUAUUCUCUUUUUGUGAUUUACCCAAAACUAUUAUUUAUUAUUUUAUUCUCAUAAAAAAUCAUGCCUAUUAUUUUAAUUACCCAAUAGGGAACCAUAGUUGAAACACCCAAGUAAUCCUGCACAACUCCUAAAAAUUUUCAUAGCAAUCAGAAUCAGGAUCAGGGCCCUAAAACUCAGGGGGGUAUUUCCUACUUAACGAUUAUCCUUAUAUCUCGCUGUCUAAAUUGAAAAUUAUCGUUCCGUCGACUCAGCAGGCCUAAGUAGGUGACGAAGCAGGCCUAGCCUACUUUGGAUUCCCCCGCGACACGCGACAGAUCCCGGGGAUCCUGUCGCGACACGCGGGCGGUUCCAAAUCAGGCUAUAAAUAGAGGGCAGUGGGACUUGCAAUUGUGCGUUCGUUCGACAAUCAAAUUCAAAUUAUACUCCGAGUUAUAGUAGAAACAGUCUCCCAAUCACUAAUUAGUAGAGAGGGGUGCUGCUACGAUACAGGGUAUUAACUCGAUCGCUAUUACGAUUCAUUUUCCGGGAUCAAUAUAUCCAAAGAAUGUCUAAGUGCCGCCCACUUUGGGUUAUACUUUGUCGUUUGUCGUUAAUUCGAUAAAUGAGUUGAAGUAUUAUACUUUGUCGUUUGUCAUCAAUUCGAUAAAUGAGUUGAAGUAUUGCACUUUAUCAUUCGUUGUGAGAAUUUGAUCUCGUGAGUUAUCGUAAUUGUUGUAUUAAGUUACCUACCUAGUUCGUAUGCACUAGGUUACAAGGCUAAAUCAAUAAACUAAGCUCUGCCUGUGUAAAUCUGCAAUAUAUCAAGGCUUAUCUGUAAACUAAACUUUGGCCGUAUGAAUCUGCAUGAUUAUAAUGUACUUACAGUAGAUUGGAGUAAGGAUUGGAUCCGGCACUAAAAGACUUCAAGAAGUGGCUUACUUUCAAAUUAAGAAAUAUUGUUUUUAUUAAAAGCUACCUUUGUAAAACAUGGAAUUUAUUCCAUCUAUUUAAAUAAAAAUCCGGUGUUUCUA
rnacentral:lncRNA from 1 species